AAGAAUAAAGCUUAUUUAAAGAGAGACCACGUUCCAAGAUACUACUUACGAAGCACCCGUAAGAGUGAAGAUUUCAACAUGAGCAUCUUUCUUCAGUGUCCCUCCUCCGCCUCGUCCCACUCCUGACCACCACGACUCGUUGUUUCUCUCUGUUCUUCCAAAAGAUAUGUCACCUCACUCUGCAGGUAGCCUCAAAUCUCUUCUCCGUUUAGCUUCUUGUCGUCUGAGGAUGUGACUCUGCUCAAGCUACUCGCCUCGAGUCCGAUGGCUUCAGCAGUCUAUGUUUCGUUCUCGGCAAGAGGAGCUUGUCGGAGAAUCUCGUUCCUCCUCCUCCCCGUUCAUCAGAGCCACCAGAUCCAUCGGUCCCGCCAUAUCUACUUUCUUCGCCGCCGCUUCGAACCAACACACUUCCCUCUCAUCCCUUCAGAUCCAUGAGCGUUAAUGGUUUUGAAUUUGAUUUCCAACCCAUAUCGUCAACGAACACCCAGUUUGAUCUUUAUGUGUCAUACCUAGCCUUAAGGGCGUGUUUAUACCUCUUCAAGAUUGGCUUAGUGAUGCGAGGAUUUUGGUUGAAGAAAGAAACAUCUCCAGUCUUAUAUUUCUCCAAUACGCAACAAAUCAAAGCUAUGGCUUUUGAUGGCUAAAGUAGGGGUGGUGUUCUGCUUUCCAAUGUGUUUUCGCAGAUCGCGGUUACGUCUCUUCGGCACACCAUGGCAUCCCCGUGCUUUUUUGAGGUAUUGUCUCAGGUCGCAUCUGACAUGGGAGAAAAUUAGAGUUGAGUUACCGGAUGCAUUCCAGUUUGCCUCCAUAACGAGCAACAUAUCUGGAGUAUCAUUAAACAGCUGCACAAUCUUCAAACCAGUGUGCCCCACAUGUGACUCAAACCCCCUUCUAGUUUCUUUAGGCGACAGCUCCUUCACCAAGGCAUCCUGCCAAUUCAUAAUUCAUUGUCUAGCUUCAGUCUACAUGGUUCACCUAGCCCAGUGCCAUGAUGUUGCUCUUGAUUUUGUUUCACUAUCUUUUCAGCUAUCACAUGCCAGUAGAGUCUACACAGCCUCUGCUCUAUUUCUCGUGAUUUUUAGAAUCAAAUCUAGACAGUUAAGGUCUUUCUCUACAGCUUUUGGAUACGAUUCUACAAUCAUCUCUCAGUUACUCUGGCCUGCCAUCAACCUCCAUUUUCGACAGAGUCUCGUAUUACUUACCUUCUUAGUGAAGAGUUCAAAACCUCUAAUCAUUGAAGUAAAGGAGAGCAUGGCUCAAACCCUGGAGUCCCUAUGCUUAGGAUCUUCUCUGACAAUCGAACGCUCAUUAAAGCUAUAUCUAGGAAUGUUGUAUUGGGUUCUAAUAUUUAGGGUAGUACCAACCCAUCAAAAAUUUUAAAAACCCUAACCCAAAAGUUGUAACUCUAAAUCAUAUUGGGUUUAUUUGGGUCUGGAUUCGAAAAUAAAGGGUUUUAUCAGGGUUGAACCCAUUUUAAUUUCAGCUUCUUCUUCGUUCUCGUCGAGAACUUCUCGACGUCAAAGCUUCUUCUUCGUUUUCGAUCAACAUCUCAUCUCCGAUCUCGCUCUCCCUUCUGGGUUUCAUCAUCUCAGCCUCUUUCUCCGAUCUCAACUAUGCCGUGGGUUUCAUCAGCCUCUCUCUCCGAUCUCUCUCUUCGAUUUGAUUCUUAUCUCCUCCGAUUUGGGUUUCAAGCAUUGUUGAGGAUCUCUCAGGCUUCUCUAUAGCAUCUCAAAGCUCUCUUCUCCAAACGGGCCAAACCCAUCUCUUCCUUUUCUCAUCUGAGACGCAAACCUCGAGCUCUUUCAUCCGAUUUGGGUUAUCACGAGCUCUCUUAUCUCCUCUGAUUGAGGUGUUGGCGAAGAAGAAAGGUGUGGCGGGGAUGGUCUUGCAGGCUAUUGUUAGACAGUUACAAGCUGCAACCACGUCGUGAGGAUUCUUCUUCUUCUUCUCUAGUGGCUUUUAGUAUUGACACCUAUGUUGAGAUUGCACAUUCUUUUAAAUUUUAGCUAUUUUGUUGUCGGGCUGUGUUAUGCUAUUUUGUUUUGAUUCUGUAAUUUGGUUCAUCUUUACAUUUUUAGCUACUUGUUAACUAAUACUUGAGCUCUCUCUUGUUUUUGUAUUGAGUUUAGAUUGAU